AGUGAACGCUGGCGGUAGGCCUAACACAUGCAAGUCGAACGGCAGCACAGGAGAGCUUGCUCUCUGGGUGGCGAGUGGCGGACGGGUGAGGAAUACAUCGGAAUCUGCCCAGUCGUGGGGGAUAACGUAGGGAAACUUACGCUAAUACCGCAUACGACCUUCGGGUGAAAGAGGGGGAUCGCAAGACCUCUCGCGAUUGGAUGAGCCGAUGUCGGAUUAGCUAGUUGGCGGGGUAAUGGCCCACCAAGGCGACGAUCCGUAGCUGGUCUGAGAGGAUGAUCAGCCACACUGGAACUGAGACACGGUCCAGACUCCUACGGGAGGCAGCAGUGGGGAAUAUUGGACAAUGGGCGCAAGCCUGAUCCAGCCAUACCGCGUGGGUGAAGAAGGCCUUCGGGUCGUAAAGCCCUUUUGUUGGGAAAGAAAUCUUUCAGGCUAAUACCCUGGGAGGAUGACGGUACCCAAAGAAUAAGCACCGGCUAACUUCGUG
rnacentral:rRNA from 1 species